ensembl:lncRNA
CUGGGAAAGAUUAAAGCCACAAGCAGUUAAAACACAGGCACCCCUUUCUGGACCACAGACUGCUACACUGCCUUUAUCUGCAACUGUGCUAAAGAUACAAGACUAUAAAGAUAGCUACACGUGCUUAUGCCAACUGAUAAUCUCAUCUUAUCUUCUUGGGGAGUGGUUGUACUUCAGGAGAGCAGGCGGCCAACCCAGCCCCACACACACAGCGUUCUGAAUGGAGGCCUCGGAGAUCGCUGUUCGUCUCCAGGUGGGCACUGCAUCACCCCCUGCUUUCCCACACCCACCACGGAUGGAACAGAACAGAAUUCAGACCCUGAGCCAAAGGAACUCACAGUCUGUCCAUUAAGAUACGAGGUUUGUAUUCACCACAUGCUCACAGUUUGUUUUGUUAGCCUUUAAUGACAUCGAGAAGCUACAGGUUGAUCAAUAUACGUGACAGCCAGUGAUUAGAUGCCUUUUUGGUGGGAAAUAAUCUGAAAUGCUGUAAGGCUACGUUACAAGGCAUUGUUAGAAAAGGUCGAUUUUGAACUCCUGGUGAUAUUACGUUAUUUUUACAAACACUGGAAACAAACAUUACUUCGUGGAGCAUCAACACUGCGGAAGAAACUGCAACCGAAAGGAACAGAGCAGUAACAUUCAGAACAAAUUCUUUUGUCAACAAAGCCCGUGUAGGUCAAGGAAACAACAGGAGCUUGCACGUUGCAGACACUGUCUUGAACACACAGCAUUCUCCUGGCCCCCACAUACAGGCAUCUGCACCCGGGCACAGCUGGGCUGUCCCAGCCCUCUGCAAACACAGAGUGUGGUGCUGGGUGCUGCCCACUGAGCCCGUUACAUGGCGCACACCAAUGCCUGGGAUAACACAGUUUGGAGAUGGGACUCAACAGUAAUCCCAACUGUGUUGGACCUACUACUUUUGAAGGGCUCUAAAGCCACACGUGUUAGCUGUCUGAGUGUAAAAGCACAACACAGCCUGGUUUGUUGUGAAGGUACAGGAAUACAGAAUUUGACAACACGAUGGUAAUGCAGUGCUUCCUCCUGGAAGGUGACACAGUGUAGAGGAAAGCACAAAGCACGACACUGCACUGCAUGUCUACGAAUACCAUCGUGCUACUGCUCCUCAGACUGUGCCUAUGGGUGAGUGAAGUCAGACUGAACACAAAAGAGCUUCAAGCUCUAACACUACUUAAGACCCAGUUUCCUUAAUGACACUUUUAACAGAACAUCCUACACACAACACACCAACACAGCCAUGACGCCAACCAACAUUGCCCCUAAAAAAACAGGUGCACCGUAAUAUUGCAUAGAAAGAACUCCUUGGUAGAAAUGCACUGGGACUAAGGGGGGUUUUCCUGCCUUGCUAAAGGAAAGCACAGACAUUUUAAAAAGCACAUUUCAUGUUUGACUUUUUUCUUAGCUAUACUCUUUGGAAUUGCUAGUGCAUAUGUUAUUUCAAGCGUAUUUCAUUCUGCAUGCCAUUAUUUGAUAUUAAAAGAGUGAAACUGGAAGGAAAGCUGUUUCUGCCUCCCCCCCAGAAUGGAAUGUAAAAUUAUUUUUCGUGUUGUUGCAUAAAAAUAAGACCCAAUUUUUCUCAAAAAACCAGAAAGCUCCAACACAACUCAGAACAGCUGAAGGAAGAGGAUAUUCACAAAAGAUAGGAAAAUCCUGGGUUAAAAAAACCCUCUGCAAAAUAAGUUAAAAGCAGCAUUCAAGAAUCGAGUAAAGAAAGAGCCCGCAUUUACCUCCCACCUCAAGCUGUACAUGACUGCACAACCUUAAUUCUGGCACUCAACCAUGUUUUCAUUUCAGUAAGCAAUCCUGCCACAGUCAGCCCAUGGACGCAUGGAGUGCAUAUGGGAGGAGGGUUAGGGGUGGUCUGCCAGAAGGCCAUGCAGCACAGCAUCACAAGGUAGAAGUCGUCUUCUUCAGCUGCCCUUUACAGUGAGCACCUGAAUCCCAUUGUACAGAGCGUGCAGAGAGAUUAAGUCCACCCAGAAGCUGUAACUAUAAGCGUUGUGCAGCAUCAGAGAGGUCACAGGAAAAGCUGUAAAGAUGAUCACGUCUACACAACUACAUUUCAUACAAAACUAGAACUUCUGCUCUCAGAUACAAUAUACACUUAGAAUAUCCGUGUAAGUGGUGAAUGUACACAAUAAAUAUAUUCUGUUAUACUAACUACAGUCACAGUUUUUUUACCCAACGCCAUAAUUUUAGAGGUAUACCAGGAAGAUGUGGUUCUGACAGUAAAUUCUUUCAUGGUUAUGCAGGAAAAUACUAUCAAAUUCUCCUGGCCGCUGCAGAUAACAGCUGAAAGUGCUUCAGGAAUUAGAACUAUUAUUAUAUUUUUAGAAUUCAUUUUGUUUUAAUAAGAAAGCCAUUUCUGGACAUUCAGUGGGACAGUUAAGGAACAAAUAAGAUUUCUUCCUAGGAAAUGCUGAAAGGCACGUAAAGAUUCCAAUGCAGGUAUUGAACAAUACGUUAAAAAGCAGAUUUGGAGUAUUUUUAUAGAUGCUAAAACACAGCAUUAGCAGAUGUGUGUCUGUUGGUGCUACUGAGAAACAGUUCAUGUAUGUGUAAAGAGGACAUCUGCUCUCUGCAGUGACCCAUCUUCCCCCACAUGUGCUGGGAUAAUAACAGUGUGCACUUACUCUGCUAUGCAGUGAUACACUGAGGCACACGCAUAUGCAUCAAUUAUUAUCUGCAAAUGGUAAAAGGAGGAAGUAAUUAAUCGACCUUGGGAAACGCACGUGUUGACAGUGAGUACGGUUUCAAUUCUUGUUCUUAUGCUAAUACAGCCAGCCAGCUGAAAUUCGGUCUACAGCCACUUAAUUGGUUUGAUUCUCGUUAGGAUUUCCACUAAUUGGGUAGAUCUCAGACGCACUGCUGCAAGAGGCAGAGAAUUGCACACAAAACAUCAAGCAGCUUAACUGUGCAACAGCAGACAUUAAUGCCUAUGGACACACAGCGCAACUCACUGCAGAAGGGAUCGCCGUAUUGCACAUGAAAUAAGAUGGCACGUUCCAUAGAGCUCCGACUUUGCACGAGGAGUGACAGACGUCUCUGUGUCUCUGAAGACACCCAGCCAUGAGGAAUGCACCCAGAACUGAAGCACAUUACCUACGGGUUACGGCCUCGCCUACACUGUUCUACAUCACUUGGAGGGGAAGGCGGCUGCAGUCACGCAAACGAAAACAGCUGAGCUGCUAUUUUUGUUCCAGAAGAAGACUGCCUUGAAGACAAUUUACUCUCCUGAAAAACAAUUCCAGUCCUUUGCUUUGCCUCGCACUCAGUGCACCCGCAGUCACUGCUUUUCAAAAUCUGACUUAAGAAUAAACUAAUGGGACAGAAGUGAAUCGUGUAAGCAAAGCAGUGCAGCUUUGGCAUAGGUUGCUGAGGAGUUUCUACUUAAGCACCCCAGACUUGUUCCACAGACCUUGCCAGCAGCAUCCUCUGGGCCACCUCCGAGGCCUUCAGAAGCCCCCACGUGCCUCCAGAAGACGUGGUCCUUUACUGGAGUUACACACAUGCCACUGAUAAUCUGUGUUCACGCUCAAGCCCACGAAGCCACCCACACAAUUUAGACUUGAAGACAGGCUGAGCUGCUGCAGAGCUCGGGAGUCUGCUUUGCAAAACACUCUUCUGGUGCGCUGCAUCCCACAAAGGUUUAAUAUUCAGACAUCUAUUUGACAAAGGGGUCAAACCUUCAUAAAUAAAGUUAUAGCUCUGGUUAACCUACAGUGCACAGAAAUGGCUUUUUCCCCACAAGCAACAGCGCUGGGAUGCUCCAGAAUAAGCUGCUGGUUUAGUAUGCGGGCAGAGAAGGCCAAGAAAAAGCAUUUAGGAAAGCUACAGCAAAACUGAAGGGAGGUUUGGCUGUAUUCCCACCCUAUCUCAAAGUGCUUCCAAAUGGAGAUAAGUCCCCUUCCUUCUCUCCAGCAUUAAGGCUCUUACAAAAAGCUAGGUCUAACUAAAAGACACUUGGGCUUUCAUUAGCAAAUACACCACUCGGGAGGCUUUUAUCACAAGCUAAGAGCUAGUUCUGCUAUUCUACCUUUAUAGACGUGUACUAAAUACACAGUGUUACUUUAUUACAAGGUCAGGGCCUUAAUAUUCUAACGUGAGAUGCUCAGUAGGUCCUGGCAAUUUGUAUCUUUUAAGAUAAAAAGGGAAAACUUGGUGGGGAACUAAAACCAAGCUACGAUAGCAUAGAGCAGCUACUGACACUGUGAUUUCCUAUUAGAGCAGAAAGAGGCCUGGAAGAAUUAAAGGAAAUGCUCUUUUCCCAUCACGUCGCCAGAUCUUUUUCUCCAGAAUUCAUCGGUUCAAUUCUUCUGACAGAACCGGGAGACAAAAGGGCUCCCAAUUCCCAUUCCCAAUUCCCAUCGAAGUCAGAAGGUUCCAGGAGAACUUGACACCAGCCAAGCUGUCCAAGAUACUUACGAGGAACUCAAAAACACGUUCGAAUGAAUGGAAUUAAUGUCAUUCCUGAAAAACCUAAAGAAGACCCAAAAUGUUCGAGAUUGCAUCUUGCAGCCCUGCAUGAGAUCACGUCAGAGCAGGUCCAGAGGACGGCCACAGGAAUGCUCCAAGGGAUGGGACACCUCUCCUAUGGGGACAGGCUCUGUAGCAGGGUCUGCUGUGACAGGACGAGGGGAAAUGGUUUCAUACUAAAAGAGGGGGAAUUCAGACUGGGUAUAAGGAGGAGGUUUCCUCAGUGAGGGCGGUGAGGUAACGGCACAGGUUGUGCAGAGAGGUGAUGAAUGCCCCAUCCCUGGAGUCACCCGAGGUCAGGCUGGACGGGCUGUGGAGCUGUAGGUGUCCCUGUUCAUUGCAGGGGAGCUGCACCAGAUGGCCUCAAAGGGUCUUUUCCCACUCAAACGAUUCUAUGAUAGCAACGUGAGUUUUGCCACUCUGAGCAGUGACACUUUGGCGGUCCCUGUCCUGCACACAGCCGUGCUGAGCUCCCAGAGGACAGCAGCACAACCCGCACCCACUGCCUCAAAAAGCAAGCCAGAAAAGGAAAACCCUUCACUGCUCGUAUCAAUCUAAAGCACUGCUUUGAAGGCAGAAGUCAGCGUACUCUGCCACCCCAAUGCUUUUAUUGGUACGCUUCUUUUUAUACGGCAAGAUAUGGCUUUUCUUCAACUGCUCGGAGCGUAUCCAGCCUUGUGAAAUCGGCCUUUUUCCAGAAUCGGGGAGAAAACAAACAAACAAACAAACCGGGAGUGUUUUCCAAGCAGUGCCGGCACCGCUGCACCGACAGCGCAGCUGAGGAACCUCAGUCAGACGGGAACGGCAGAGCAGCCCGCAGGGCUGAGAGCCGCCGGCACGGCUGAGCUGCCACCUCGCUGCGGGGCAGCCCUACCGCGGCGUCACAGACCGCCG